rnacentral:rRNA from 1 species
UACGUAGGCAGCAAGCGUUGUUCGGAAUUACUGGGCGUAAAGCGUGCGCAGGCGGUGAUGUAAGACAGUUGUGAAAUCCCCGGGCUCAACCUGGGAACUGCAUCUGUGACUGCAUCGCUGGAGUACGGUAGAGGGGGAUGGAAUUCCGCGUGUAGCAGUGAAAUGCGUAGAUAUGCGGAGGAACACCGAUGGCGAAGGCAAUCCCCUGGACCUGUACUGACGCUCAUGCACGAAAGCGUGGGGAGCAAACAGG